rnacentral:sRNA from 1 species
CCCGCGGGCUCCUCCCCUCUCCUCCUAGCUGUGAGCCGCUCUGAGCGAUUGCGAAGGACGAAGAUGAGCCUCAAGCUGUCACUUGCUGCCUGGAGUUCGUUCGGAAAGUUGGAAAAGCCUAGUUCUAAUUAGGAAAUCUAUCCAGCUGUGUAUUUACUUUUGUUUUUAGGGUCUGAAGCUCAGGAAGGCUUAAGGAAACAAGAUCACACAGCUGCCGCCCACGCUGGGUUAUUCGAUCACUGCGAUGGAGAAGCAAGCACUACAUCUCUGGACCCCCAUGCAAUUGGGUCAUCAGCUAUGUGAUGUUACCUCAGACCCCAAAAGUUAAGGUCAAGGUUCCUUUAAAAGAAAAACAACAAC